rnacentral:rRNA from 1 species
GUGGGGAAUCUUCCACAAUGGACGAAAGUCUGAUGGAGCAACGCCGCGUGAGUGAAGAAGGGUUUCGGCUCGUAAAGCUCUGUUGUCGGGGACGAAUGUGCAGUAUUUGAAUAAAGUACUGUAAUGACGGUACCUGACGAGGAAGCCACGGCUAACUACGUGCCAGCAGCCGCGGUAAUACGUAGGUGGCAAGCGUUGUCCGGAAUUAUUGGGCGUAAAGGGAGCGCAGGCGGGAAGGUAAGUCGGUCUUAAAAGUGCGGGGCUCAACCCCGUGAUGGGAUCGAAACUAUCUUUCUUGAGUGCAGGAGAGGAAAGUGGAAUUCCUAGUGUAGCGGUGAAAUGCGUAGAUAUUAGGAAGAACACCAGUGGCGAAGGCGACUUUCUGGACGAAAACUGACGCUGAGGCGCGAAAGCCAGGGGAGCGAACGGGAUUAGAAACCCGGGUAGUCC